CAGAGCUUAGCUAAGUUAGAAAAGCAUCCCUCUUACACUGGGAAGUCGCUCGUGCAAAUCGAGCCGCCCUGA
rnacentral:tRNA from 1 species